UUUUUUGGGGCGGAAAAAAAUAUGAAAUUGCGAGUGGCCGGUGAUCAAGAACUUCAUUCCCUAUUUGUGAAAAUUAGGUCAGAAUACUCGGAAUUGAGCAUUGAAUUAUCACAAAAUGAUUUUUAGAACUAAAAGUAACUUCUACAUGCAUCGAGAUGCCCUAAUUCGAAGACUUGUAGGUAUUCAUAAAUCAACAUCUUUUCAGCUCUCUCGAUGCAACAACCCAAGAGCUUAACAAGAUUGCGAUGUUGUAGUUUAGAUAUGGAGAUGACUUCAUUCUUGAACUCACAAAGUCCUUGAGUGGAUGUUUUUGCUAGGCGCUUCACUGCUACUUCCUGCCCGUCUUCAAGUACGCCCUGAAACCAUAGUUGUUAAUGGCGAAUAGCGACAAAUAUCAAAAAGGUGUCUAUAUGCUACAUAGCGAAUAGCAAUAAAUAGUGGGCACUAUUUAUAAAAUAGCAAUACACUAGAAAAUAAUUAUACAUAUAUGUAUGUAUAGGGUAGGGUUCUAGAGUGAACACUAGGUUGAGAAUGACCUGUGUGAACUAAUCUGGGCCAUUGGAUUACAUCAUCUAGAGAUUUUUAAACAAUGGCAAGAUUGUAAUUAUAAUGUUAUAACUUCCCUUUAAAAUAAUUAUCAGAAGGGUAUUUUCGUUUUUUGUAAAUUGCAAUUAUUAAACAAUAUAAUCAAAAUCCCUAAAAUCUCGCUAGUUUCCGUAUAUUCAAGAUACACAAUUGUUAGUGUAUACACAUGUGUACAGUCUCGCUAGUAAUAGUUUAUACAGGAUACGCGGAUGUUAGUUUAUACACAUGUGUACAGUCUCGCUAACUAUCAGUUUAUACAAGAUACACAACUAUUAGUUUAUACACAUGUGUACCAACUUUUAUACAUAUGUGUAUUAUAUUCGGAAAUGGUUACAUAUGUGCAUAUUAACAACAUAUUAUGAUAUCUCAGAGAAAUUUAAUGCCUAAAAAUAAACAAUUUCAAUAUCAGAUAAAUUUUUCAAUAUUUAUCGAAAAUUAUAAAAAGUUGAAACCAAUAUAUUAUGAUAUCUAUAUAUACGAAUAAUAAAAGAAAAACAAUAUUCAAGUUAAAAUUAAAACAAAAUCUAUGGAUAAAGAAAUGAGUGCUACGAACAUUUGGAAAUUAAAUAAUUUGUAAACAGAAUAUUUCCAA
rnacentral:lncRNA from 1 species